rnacentral:rRNA from 1 species
UACGGGGGGAGCAAGCGUUGUUCGGAUUUACUGGGCGUAAAGGGCGCGUAGGCGGCCUGUGCAAGUCAGUUGUGAAAUCUCCGGGCUUAACUCGGAACGGUCAACUGAUACUGCUCGGCUAGAGUGCGGAAGGGGCAACUGGAAUUCUUGGUGUAGCGGUGAAAUGCGCAGAUAUCGGGAGGAACACCAGUAGCGAAGGCGGCUCGCCGGGCCACACCUGACGCUGAGACGCGAAAGCUAGGGGAGCGAACAGG